ACACGGGGGGCGCAAGCGUUAUUCGGAAUUAUUGGGCGUAAAGGGCGUGUAGGCGGUUUUAUCGGUCAGAUGUGAAAGCCCAGGGCUCAACCCUGGACGUGCAUUUGAAACAGUAAGACUUGAGUACGGUAGAGGAAAGCGGAAUUCCUGGUGUAGAGGUGAAAUUCGUAGAUAUCAGGAGGAACACCGAUGGCGAAGGCAGCUUUCUGGACCGAAACUGACGCUGAUGCGCAAAGGCGUGGGUAGCGAACAGGAUUAGAAACCCCAGUAGUCC
rnacentral:rRNA from 1 species